UUGCGGGACACAUUGAACAUCGACAUAUUGAACGCAUAUUGCGGCCACGGGUCCGUCCUGUGGCCACGCCCGUCUGAGGGUCGGCGA
rnacentral:rRNA from 1 species